rnacentral:rRNA from 1 species
AACGAACGCUGGCGGCGUGCCUAACACAUGCAAGUCGAACGAGAAAGGGGCUUCGGCUCCGAGUAAAGUGGCGCACGGGUGAGUAACACGUGGGUAACCUGCCUCUAAGAUUGGGAUAACUCGUCGAAAGAUGAGCUAAUACCGAAUAAGACCACAGUUCCUGCGGGAACAGAGGUCAAAGGUAGCCUCUGCAUGCAAGCUAUCACUUAGAGAUGGGCCUGCGCACCAUUAGCUAGUUGGUAGGGUAAAGGCCUACCAAGGCAAAGAUGGUUAGCUGGUCUGAGAGGAAGAUCAGACACACUGGAACUGAGACACGGUCCAGACUCCUACGGGAGGCAGCAGUGGGGAAUAUUGCGCAAUGGGCGAAAGCUUGACGCAGCAACGCCGCGUGAGUGACGAAGGCCUUCGGGUCGUAAAGCUCUGUCGGGAGGAACGAAUGCUCCUGAGGUUAACAGCCUCGGGAGGUGACGGUACCUUCAAAGGAAGCACCGGCUAACUCUGUGCCAGCCGCCGCCGUAAAAC